UACGUAGGGGGCGAGCGUUAUCCGGAAUUAUUGGGCGUAAAGAGUACGUAGGUGGUUUCCUAAGCAUGGGGUUUAAGGCAACGGCUUAACCAUUGUUCGCCCCAUGAACUGGGUUACUUGAGUGCUGGAGGGGAAAGCGGAAUUCCUAGUGUAGCGGUGAAAUGCGUAGAUAUUAGGAGGAACACCGGUGGCGAAGGCGGCUUUCUGGACAGUAACUGACACUGAGGUACGAAAGUGUGGGGAGCAAACAGG
rnacentral:rRNA from 1 species